UACGUAGGGCGCAAGCGUUGUCCGGAAUUAUUGGGCGUAAAGAGCUCGUAGGCGGUUUGUCGCGUCUGUCGUGAAAGCUUGGGGCUUAACCCCAAGUCUGCGGUGGAUACGGGCAGACUAGAGGCAGGUAGGGGAGAACGGAAUUCCGGGUGUAGUGGUGAAAUGCGUAGAGAUCCGGAGGAACCCCAGAGGCGAAGGCGGCGUCCUGGCUCGCAUCUGACGCUCAGACACGACAUCAUGGGGAGCAAACGGG
rnacentral:rRNA from 1 species